UAUAAUCAAAUUAAAACAAAGAUACAAAUAAUUAUAUACAGAAAAGAUUAGCAUGGCCCCUGCACAAGGAUGACAUGUAACUUCAUGAACCUUUCUAUUUUUUU